GCAGCAGUGGAGGAGGAGGCAGACAUGGCGGCGGCGCAGCCUCGUCUCACCUCUGCUGCUCCUCUGGAGGAGCUUCUCUCUGAACGAGUCCAGCUCGGAACGUUCGAUUCCACGUGUCGACACGGACGGUUUUUAUUUCUUCCUGAUGGUCGGUGCGUCAAAACUUUCUGUGAAUGAAGCAAAGUUUCCAGACUGAGCCUCGAACCAGCGGCUGCUUCAACGGGAUGAAGAGAUCCUCUCUCAAGCUGCUGCCUCUGCACUUUCAGCGGCUCAGCUCGGAUUAAACCCGGCUGCUGCUGCUCAGUGUUCGGCUGCUCCGCUCGCUCACCAGCCUCCGAGCUCCAGGGAUGGUCGAUGUCGAUCAAACGCCUCAGCAGCCGGGAGGAGGAGACAUGUCAUCACAGCCGCUCACGGUGGAUUCACCGCUUCACGAUGUUUGGUGGAGAACUAGUUCAUCCUGAUGUCAUCAUGUUUGCUUUUAUCUUGUUUUCUUUAUCUUAAAUGUGAUUAUACUUGAGUUGUGUUUCAAAGACAUGUAUGUCAAACAUUAAAGCACCUUUUUUACUUUCAUACAA